GAUGAUUUUAUUUUGUUUCAAUAUUUUGGGAUUUAAUUUUAUUCAAAACCGGAAGUGACUUAAUGCUGGGGCGGGAUUUCCGGUUUAGUGAACGGUUCAUGAGGAAACCUUGCAAGCGCAAGCGAGACACGAAAUCAUCUUCCCGAGAAUGAUUGGAACCUCGGUGUCCGGUGAAGUAAAGAUCAGUGAUCACGCGCUGGUGUGGCGCGGUGUGUAUUGAUAUCACCACUACCGUUUGUACCGUGGUUACUAUGGGGUACAGAUUUGAUGGCUAGUAGUUCAGACUUGCAUUUGUAACUACUUUGUAACUACAAUUUUGUAAUCGCCUAUUUAGAAUAGCCUCCUGGGGUUUUGAGGCAGUAUACUGUGACGAGUGUUUUCAUUUGAUAAAAAGAGCAACCCUGUAAGAGUAUUUUUCUGGUUGUUUUCAUUUUAUUUCCUUUUGAGGCUCUUUUAUGUCCAGAACGUGGACACUUGUAUUUUUCUACU